rnacentral:rRNA from 1 species
UACGUAGGGUGCAAGCGUUGUCCGGAAUUAUUGGGCGUAAAGAGCUUGUAGGCGGUCUGUCGCGUCUGCUGUGAAAAUCCGGGGCUCAACCCCGGACUUGCAGUGGGUACGGGCAGACUAGAGUGCGGUAGGGGGAGACUGGAAUUCCUGGUGUAGCGGUGAAAUGCGCAGAUAUCAGGAGGAACACCGGUGGCGAAGGCGGGUCUCUGGGCAACUACUGACGCUGAGGAGCGAAAGCGUGGGGGAGCGAACAGG